CAGUUCGUAAAAAUGGUUGUGCCGUGUGUACAUUUGAACAUUCAAUAUUCAUAUCACAGCCAUUUUGACGAGUUUGA
rnacentral:pre_miRNA from 1 species